UACGUAGGGGGCAAGCGUUGUCCGGAUUUAUUGGGCGUAAAGAGCGUGUAGGCGGCCAGGUAGGUCAGCUGUGAAAACUCGAGGCUCAACCUCGAGACGUCGGGUGAAACCACCUGGCUAGAGUCCGGAAGAGGAGAGUGGAAUUCCUGGUGUAGCGGUGAAAUGCGCAGAUAUCAGGAAGAACACUCGUGGCGAAGGCGGCCAGCUAGACCAGUUCUGACACUGAGGCGCGACAGCGUGGGGAGCAAACAGG
rnacentral:rRNA from 1 species